UACGGAGGGGGCUAGCGUUGUUCGGAAUUACUGGGCGUAAAGCGCGCGUAGGCGGACCUGCAAGUCGGGGGUGAAAGCCCGAGGCUCAACCUCGGAACUGCCUUCGAUACUGCGGGUCUCGAGUCCGGGAGAGGUGAGUGGAAUUCCUAGUGUAGAGGUGAAAUUCGUAGAUAUUAGGAAGAACACCAGUGGCGAAGGCGGCUCACUGGCCCGGUACUGACGCCUGAGGCGACGAAAGCGUGGGGAGCAAACAGG
rnacentral:rRNA from 1 species